GGGGAAUUUUCCGCAAUGGGCGAAAGCCUGACGGAGCAAUACCGCGUGAGGGAGGAAUGCCUUUGGGUUGUAAACCUCUUUUCUCAGGGAAGAAGAUCUGACGGUACCUGAGGAGUAAGUAUCGGCUAACUCCGUGCCAGCAGCCGCGGUAAUACGGAGGAUGCAAGCGUUAUCCGGAAUCAUUGGGCGUAAAGCGUCCGCAGGUGGUUUCCAAAGUCUGCUGUUAAAGACUGGAGCUCAACUCCGGAACGGCGGUGGAAACUUGGAAACUAGAGUUCGGUAGGGGUAGCAGGAAUUCCCAGUGUGGCGGUGAAAUGCGUAGAUAUUGGGAAGAACAUCGGUGGCGAAGGCGUGCUACUGGACCGUAACUGACACUCAGGGACGAAAGCUAGGGGAGCGAAAGGGAUUAGAUACCCCUGUAGUCCUAGCUGUAAACGAUGGAAACUAGGUGUGGCUUG
rnacentral:rRNA from 1 species